UACAGAGGGGGCAAGCGUUGUUCGGAAUUACUGGGCGUAAAGGGCGCGUAGGCGGCCUUCUAAGUCGAACGUGAAAUCCCCGGGCUCAACCCGGGAACUGCGUCCGAUACUGGAAGGCUUGAAUCCGGGAGAGGGAUGCGGAAUUCCAGGUGUAGCGGUGAAAUGCGUAGAUAUCAGGAAGAACACCGGUGGCGAAGGCGGGUCUCUGGGCCACUACUGACGCUGAGGAGCGAAAGCGUGGGGAGCGAACAGG
rnacentral:rRNA from 1 species